rnacentral:rRNA from 2 species
UUAAGCGACUAAGCGUACACGGUGGAUGCCCUGGCAGUCAGAGGCGAUGAAGGACGUGCUAAUCUGCGAUAAGCGUCGGUAAGGUGAUAUGAACCGUUAUAACCGGCGAUUUCCGAAUGGGGAAACCCAGUGUGUUUCGACACACUAUCAUUAACUGAAUCCAUAGGUUAAUGAGGCGAACCGGGGGAACUGAAACAUCUAAGUACCCCGAGGAAAAGAAAUCAACCGAGAUUCCCCCAGUAGCGGCGAGCGAACGGGGAGCAGCCCAGAGCCUGAAUCAGUGUGUGUGUUAGUGGAAGCGUCUGGAAAGGCGCGCGAUACAGGGUGACAGCCCCGUACACAAAAAUGCACAUGCUGUGAGCUCGAUGAGUAGGGCGGGACACGUGGUAUCCUGUCUGAAUAUGGGGGGACCAUCCUCCAAGGCUAAAUACUCCUGACUGACCGAUAGUGAACCAGUACCGUGAGGGAAAGGCGAAAAGAACCCCGGCGAGGGGAGUGAAAAAGAACCUGAAACCGUGUACGUACAAGCAGUGGGAGCACGCUUCGGCGUGUGACUGCGUACCUUUUGUAUAAUGGGUCAGCGACUUAUAUUCUGUAGCAAGGUUAACCGAAUAGGGGAGCCGAAGGGAAACCGAGUCUUAACUGGGCGUUAAGUUGCAGGGUAUAGACCCGAAACCCGGUGAUCUAGCCAUGGGCAGGUUGAAGGUUGGGUAACACUAACUGGAGGACCGAACCGACUAAUGUUGAAAAAUUAGCGGAUGACUUGUGGCUGGGGGUGAAAGGCCAAUCAAACCGGGAGAUAGCUGGUUCUCCCCGAAAGCUAUUUAGGUAGCGCCUCGUGAAUUCAUCUCCGGGGGUAGAGCACUGUUUCGGCAAGGGGGUCAUCCCGACUUACCAACCCGAUGCAAACUGCGAAUACCGGAGAAUGUUAUCACGGGAGACACACGGCGGGUGCUAACGUCCGUCGUGAAGAGGGAAACAACCCAGACCGCCAGCUAAGGUCCCAAAGUCAUGGUUAAGUGGGAAACGAUGUGGGAAGGCCCAGACAGCCAGGAUGUUGGCUUAGAAGCAGCCAUCAUUUAAAGAAAGCGUAAUAGCUCACUGGUCGAGUCGGCCUGCGCGGAAGAUGUAACGGGGCUAAACCAUGCACCGAAGCUGCGGCAGCGACACUGUGUGUUGUUGGGUAGGGGAGCGUUCUGUAAGCCUGUGAAGGUGUGCUGUGAGGCAUGCUGGAGGUAUCAGAAGUGCGAAUGCUGACAUAAGUAACGAUAAAGCGGGUGAAAAGCCCGCUCGCCGGAAGACCAAGGGUUCCUGUCCAACGUUAAUCGGGGCAGGGUGAGUCGACCCCUAAGGCGAGGCCGAAAGGCGUAGUCGAUGGGAAACAGGUUAAUAUUCCUGUACUUGGUGUUACUGCGAAGGGGGGACGGAGAAGGCUAUGUUGGCCGGGCGACGGUUGUCCCGGUUUAAGCGUGUAGGCUGGUUUUCCAGGCAAAUCCGGAAAAUCAAGGCUGAGGCGUGAUGACGAGGCACUACGGUGCUGAAGCAACAAAUGCCCUGCUUCCAGGAAAAGCCUCUAAGCAUCAGGUAACAUCAAAUCGUACCCCAAACCGACACAGGUGGUCAGGUAGAGAAUACCAAGGCGCUUGAGAGAACUCGGGUGAAGGAACUAGGCAAAAUGGUGCCGUAACUUCGGGAGAAGGCACGCUGAUAUGUAGGUGAAGCGACUUGCUCGUGGAGCUGAAAUCAGUCGAAGAUACCAGCUGGCUGCAACUGUUUAUUAAAAACACAGCACUGUGCAAACACGAAAGUGGACGUAUACGGUGUGACGCCUGCCCGGUGCCGGAAGGUUAAUUGAUGGGGUUAGCGCAAGCGAAGCUCUUGAUCGAAGCCCCGGUAAACGGCGGCCGUAACUAUAACGGUCCUAAGGUAGCGAAAUUCCUUGUCGGGUAAGUUCCGACCUGCACGAAUGGCGUAAUGAUGGCCAGGCUGUCUCCACCCGAGACUCAGUGAAAUUGAACUCGCUGUGAAGAUGCAGUGUACCCGCGGCAAGACGGAAAGACCCCGUGAACCUUUACUAUAGCUUGACACUGAACAUUGAGCCUUGAUGUGUAGGAUAGGUGGGAGGCUUUGAAGUGUGGACGCCAGUCUGCAUGGAGCCGACCUUGAAAUACCACCCUUUAAUGUUUGAUGUUCUAACGUUGACCCGUAAUCCGGGUUGCGGACAGUGUCUGGUGGGUAGUUUGACUGGGGCGGUCUCCUCCUAAAGAGUAACGGAGGAGCACGAAGGUUGGCUAAUCCUGGUC